GCCCAGUUAGCUCAGUUGGCUAGAGCAUCAGGCUUUUAACCUGAGGGUCGUGGGUUCGAGUCCCAUACUGGGCG